ensembl:snoRNA SNORA70 Small nucleolar RNA SNORA70
CUGCAGCCAGUUAAAGCCAACCAGCUUCCUUUCCUCUUGGAGGCCAGUGUGCAGUGGCUACAAAUAGCAGCCCCUUUGAUUAGUGGAUGCAGCCUGUUGCAUGUUUCCUAAAGGGACUUGGAGACAGUU